AUUGAACGCUGGCGGCAUGCUUUACACAUGCAAGUCGAACGGCAGCGCGGGCUUCGGCCUGGCGGCGAGUGGCGAACGGGUGAGUAAUGCAUCGGAACGUGCCCAGUAGUGGGGGAUAGCCCGGCGAAAGCCGGAUUAAUACCGCAUACGACCUGAGGGUGAAAGCGGGGGACCGAAAGGCCUCGCGCUAUUGGAGCGGCCGAUGUCGGAUUAGCUAGUUGGUGGGGUAAAGGCUUACCAAGGCGACGAUCCGUAGCUGGUCUGAGAGGACGACCAGCCACACUGGGACUGAGACACGGCCCAGACUCCUACGGGAGGCAGCAGUGGGGAAUUUUGGACAAUGGGGGCAACCCUGAUCCAGCCAUGCCGCGUGCGGGAAGAAGGCCUUCGGGUUGUAAACCGCUUUUGUUCGGGAAGAAAGCCUCUGGGCUAAUACCCCGGGGGGAUGACGGUACCGGAAGAAUAAGCACCGGCUAACUACGUGC
rnacentral:rRNA from 1 species